rnacentral:lncRNA from 1 species
ACAAUGCUUGUAUCGUCAUCCCUGUGCACUACUAUCUCUUGCCUGUCCCAUUCAAUUUCACCAUCUGGUGUAAUGUAGAAGGUACUGCUUUGGAAGCAUGGAUCCAAGGUCACCCAUGUAGAAGAUUGUAUGAUACUACCACGCCAACCACUUGGAAUUCCAUGGUGAAUUCAACUGGACCAAUGGUCAAUUCAGUAUGAUAUCGCCCACCGUGUCUGUACCACCUCCAUCGAAACCUCGGACGCAAACGUUGUUAUUGUGAAUCCGGUCAUGAUUAAUUUUCAGCUUGUUCAAAGUAGCCAAAGUACAGAUGUUGGCACUUGGCCCAUUAUCAACCAAUACUCGGGUGACCAUCGAGUCUUCACAUUUCAUGGUCCAAUACAAGGCUUUGUUGUGUUAUGUACCCUCUGUCGGCAACUCAUCAUCAGAAAAUGUCACCCGGUUUACUUCGAAGAUUUUGUGCACUAUCUU